ACAUAUAUUUUUUUGUCUCAAAAAAAAAAUGGACUAUUAUUAAAAGAAACUUCUUUGUUUCUUUUUUAUAUUUUUUUGGCUAUAUUGUGUUAUUUUAUUAUUUAAGAUACCUUGAGGUUGCCUUUUUUUUAAUGUAACUCAUAUAAUAUUUCAGAUACUAUUCACUUUAUUUACAAAUAAUUUUAUAAAUCUAUUAAAAUAAUUUUAUAAAAAUAAGUUUAUUUUUAUUUAAUUUUGUAAUGUUUAAAUAGAAAAUUUUAAAAAAAUAUUUUUUUAGUAACUUAUUAAAUUGUUUGAUACAUUCAAUUUUAUUUAAAUUUAAUAAUUAUUUAUUUAUUAACAAAAUAUUAAAAAAAAAACUUUUCAAAAAUAAUAAUAAAAAAAAGUGAGAGAGAAGGUGUGUAUAAAAAAUAAACCAAAAAAAUCCUAAUACGGCGUGUUGAAAGAUAUAAAGAAAAAAGGUGACCACGUGUAUAAUAAACAAAAAGACUGAUGUUUAAAGGUGAGUUGUUUUGUAUCGGUUUACGUGCCUAAAAUAAAUAAAAAAGGACAUGGUAUUUGAAACAAUAAAACAACUAAUAAUAAUUACGUAAAUAAUUUAAUAUUUGCGUUGUCAGACGCAAAUAACUCUAAAAAUUAUUCUAUUAUAAUAUAGUAUUAAAUAUUAUUUACUGUUAUUAUUGUUACAUUUGAUACUUUUUGGCAUUUUAAUUUUUUUUUUCUAGUGUACUACUAUUUAUUUAUAAUCUCUAAAUUAGAAUAUAAUUCGUUUGAUCUCAAGUGUAUUUUUUAAUAAAGGUUUUACUGUAUUUGUAUCAAUUUUUAGUAUUAUGCUACAAUGCACAAUUAUAAAAUUUAGAAUAAAUAGCAUUUUUACCCCCCGAACUUUUUAUUCUACCAAAUUUUGCCCCCUAAUAUAUACUGCUUGUUACGAAUAGUCCUCAAAUUAUAACGAAUGCAGAAUUGUAGUCCUUCCGUUCACUUCUGUUUAAUUUUACUGUUAAUUGACUUAUAUGGUAGUAUUAUUUUAAAUAAAAAAUGAUGUGGCAAGACAUGUGGAUAUUAAUUUUAGGUGAUGUGGAUAUUUUAAUGUAACCUAAGUAUUUAUUUUAUUUUUUUUUACAUUAAUGAAUUAAAACAACAAAUUAAAUAAAAUCAUUAUAAAAAGAUAACUAUAAACACUCAAACCCUAGCUACCCUUUCCUAUUUCCUCUCUCUUCUUCACGCACGACGUCUUUGUUCUUCACGCAUGGUGUUUUUCACACCUGGUAUUUUUUUUUUGUAGAAAAAAAAAUUGGGUAAAUAAAAUUUAGGCUUCACGCACGACGAUCUUCACGCCUGUGUUCUUCCCUUUCAAUUUUUCAAUGUCUUCUUCAUCUUAUUCUUAUAAAAGUGGAGAUAGAUCUAUACAUAUGUAUGAAUGGAGACCACCGAAGUGUAAAUGUGGUUUAGAAUGUGUUGAACGGACUUCUUUAACAGAAGAUAAUCCAAGGAGAAGGUUUUUUGGAUGUCCAAGAUAGAAGAGUAAUGUUCAGAUUGGGUGCCGUUUUUUAAGGAUUGACCCACCAGCUCCAAGGAAUGAUAUAAAUUUAGUUUAAAGGCUAGAGAUGAUUGAGAAAAAUUUAAUGGCACUGCAAAAUCAUGUUGAAAAAACUGAUGAAGAAAUUAGAAGAUUGAAGAAAUAUUUCAAGUAUGGCAUAUAUGUUGUUCUUGCAAUUUUGUUGUGUUCUUAUUUUUAUUAGAUUUGUUAAUUUUUUUUUAAUAUCGUACUCUUGACAAACUAGAAUGAAGAUGUAAUUUUGUUUGUUUGAUUCAUUGUUGUUGUUGAGAUUAAUUCUGCUUUUGGGUGAGAUUUUUAAUCUUUAAAAUUUAUUAAAGACUAACCUAUAUAUGUAUGUGCACAUCAAAGAUGAGUAGUGAACUUUGCAAUAAAUUUACUAAACACCAAUUAAAAUCUGAUGUUAUUUAGAAACCCCAAAAAAA